rnacentral:rRNA from 1 species
UACGUAGGGGGCAAGCGUUGUCCGGAAUCAUUGGGCGUAAAGAGCGUGUAGGCGGCCCGAUAAGUCCGCUGUGAAAGUCCAGGGCUCAACCCUGGGAUGCCGGUGGAUACUGUCAGGCUCGAGUCCGGAAGAGGAGUGUGGAAUUCCUGGUGUAGCGGUGAAAUGCGCAGAUAUCAGGAGGAACACCAAUGGCGAAGGCAGCACUCUGGGACGUGACUGACGCUGAGACGCGAAAGCGUGGGGAGCAAACAGG